rnacentral:rRNA from 1 species
GGAUAACUUACCCUUUAGGACUGGGAUAACUCUGGGAAACUGGGGAUAAUACCGGAUAUUAGGUGGUGCCUGCAAUGGUUUACCUUUGAAAUGUUUUUUGUAUUCGCCUAAGGAUAGAUCUGCGGCUGAUUAGGUCGUUGGUGGGGUAAUGGCCCACCAAGCCGAUGAUCGGUACGGGUUGUGAGAGCAAGGGCCCGGAGAUGGAACCUGAGACAAGGUUCCAGACCCUACGGGGUGCAGCAGGCGCGAAACCUCCGCAAUGUACGUAAGUGCGACGGGGGGAUCCCAAGUGUUAUGCUUAAUAGUAUAACUUUUCAUUAGUGUAAAAAGCUUUUAGAAUAAGAGCUGGGCAAGACCGGUGCCAGCCGCCGCGGUAAUACCGGCAGCUCGAGUGGUAGCUGUUUUUAUUGGGCCUAAAGCGUUCGUAGCCGGUUUGAUAAGUCUUUGGUGAAAGCUUGUAGCUUAACUAUAAGAAUUGCUGGAGAUACUAUCAGACUUGAAGUCGGGAGAGGUUAGAGGUACUGCCGGGGUAGGGGUGAAAUCCUAUAAUCCUGGGAGGACCACCUGUGGCGAAGGCGUCUAACUAGAACGAUCUUGACGGUGAGUAACGAAAGCCAGGGGCGCGAACCGGAUUAGAUACCCGGGUAGUCCUGGCCGUAAACGAUGUGGACUUGGUGUUGGAAUGGCUUUGAGUUGUUCCAGUGCCGAAGGGAAGCUGUUAAGUCCACCGCCUGGGAAGUACGGUCGCAAGACUGAAACUUAA